GACCCAGUUUUAGCACAACAUCGCCUGACACAGUACUGCAAUCCGCAACUUUAAUAACUUGGUGACACACAAAGCAGUUUUGAUGCAAAGUGGAGCUGACAGAGCAGCGGAGGGAAGGCUCUGCUUCUCACUGAGCUGCGUGGGGAAUCCACUCAAGGCAGAAUGGCAUGUUGAAAAACACCAGGGCUGUACUCGAAUCAUCCAGUCCUCAGGCAUACAGAGGGUGUUAGCUUGGUUUUGCAGCCACAUCAGUUUUUGAUUAGACUUACAAUUAAAGUGGGGAAGUGACUUUGGAAGAGACAUGCAUGCUGUCAGCAGAUGGGAGAGGGGAUCGAGAAAGAUGGAGGGAGGCUGCUGUAACACCUGUUCUGGUUGGGAUUCUGAAUAAAUAUGAAAGUGGCUCUCCCUGUGAGAGGAGUAUGCUUCUUGAUCACUGAAGGCUGACUAGGCGAUGCAGAAGGUGUUACUCACCGUUCAAACUUUUCAACUUUGCCACAGCAUCCUAUUCCUGGAAAUCCAAAGUACCACAGCAUCUGAAAGGUAUAGGAAGAUUGAAAGCACAAAUGAGAACCCAAGAAACACGGGGCAAGCAAGGACUCACAGGAGGAAAAGAACCAGGAUUGGGAGGUCACCGAACCUGAAAACAACAUGAUUGCUACUCUGGACUUCGGUUUUAGUUACUCAUACCUGGGCUGUUUAGAAGUAACUUUAAUGGAUACAGUCAAAGAUGAGCCUCUAGGAGAUCUCACAUGACCCCACUGUAGGAGUAUGAGAAGAAUGUUCAGGAAGAAGGGGUUCAGGUGGUAGAUGAUAAGAAACUACAGGUGGCGCAAUAGACAUAUUAUCCUCUUUGAUGGAGUCUGUAAAGAUAUCACUAAAGUUUAAUAAUAAAGCAUGAAUAUUCA